UGGGUGAAGCAGCCUAGCAGCCAGCUCUGCCCUCCGAAGGGGGUACACCUCGCAGCUUCUGAAUUUUCAACCCAGGCCAUUUGGAAGAUAGCGAAAAAGGGACUUUAAAAAGGUGCUCAUGAUGUAAUUCUAAAAACACAGAGAAGACAUCUCAGCGUUUGGAGAUAAACUCAAGCCAAGCGCACCGCCAGCAUGCCAUGCCACACUCUGCUUCCCCUUUGAAAUGAAUGGCUUUCUGCACUUCAAAGAGGGCUUCGUUUGCCUUGUUUAGCACCAGAUGCAAAUACAUUGUCAGACAGAGCCACUCACAUGAGAAUGGUCUUGGGUUUGGGAAGCAGAGCAGGCAGGGAAGGCACCAGAUUUUGCCUAUCUAGUUUAUUCCAUUUGCAAUUAAAGUUGGUUUUUAAAAUCAAA